GGGGUGCUCGAGCGGCGAACGGGUGAGUAACACGUGAGUAACCUGCCCUUGACUUUGGGAUAACUUCAGGAAACUGGGGCUAAUACCGGAUAGGAGCUCCUGCUGCAUGGUGGGGGUUGGAAAGUUUCGGCGGUUGGGGAUGGACUCGCGGCUUAUCAGCUUGUUGGUGGGGUAGUGGCUUACCAAGGCUUUGACGGGUAGCCGGCCUGAGAGGGUGACCGGCCACAUUGGGACUGAGAUACGGCCCAG
rnacentral:rRNA from 1 species